AUUGAACGCUGGCGGCAGGCCUAAUACAUGCAAGUCGAGCGGCGCGGCGGACGGGUGAGUAAUGCCUAGGAAUUUGCCCGGUAGUGGGGGACAACGUCGGGAAAGGGACGCUAAUACCGCAUACUAUCAGAUCAGCUUAGGUUGGAGUAGCUAGUUGGUGGGGUAAAGGCCUACCAAGGCGACGAUCCGUAACUGGUCCGAGAGGAUGAUCAGUCACACUGGAACUGAGACACGGUCCAGACUCCUACGGGAGGCAGCAGUGGGGAAUAUUGGGCAAUGGGCGAAAGCCUGAUCCAGCCAUGCCGCGUGAGUGAAGAAGGUCUUCGGAUUGUAAAGCACUUUAAGUUGGGAGGCGUUACCAACAGAAUAAGCACCGGCUAACUUCGUGCCAGCCGCCGCGGUAAUAC
rnacentral:rRNA from 1 species